GCCCCUCAGCAGGCAGCGCUCCGUGACCUUCCCUGUCAUUGCGGCAUUAAGUGCUGGUGAACGGAGAGUACCGGUGUAUGGGAAAACAGCAGAGGCUUGCGAGAAGUGCAUUCUAUCAGGACCAGGUGUGUUCAGCAAGCAAACGUGUUCAAGUAGAAGCUGCACUGCACCUUGUAAACUGCAAAGUGGCUUAUGGUAACUGGAACUUGUAGAUUCAGUAUUCUGUAUACAAAUGAAAAAUCUUGGAUAAUUAAGACUGAAGUCACUGAGAAUUUCAGUAUGCUGACUUUAAAGGUUCUAAGGAAACUCAGCACUUGAAACUGAAUGCAAGACUCCACUGUUAUCCAGUGCACUCACUGAUAGCAGCCCCAGAAGAGAUUCGUGAGAAUGCCUAGAAAACCUGACCUUCCUCUCCUGACAGCACAUCAUACCAUGAACAGUUGAUUGAAUGAAAAAGCUCAGAGGUUACAGACUGAAGAAAUUUAGGUCGUUACUUCUCCAUCUACUGGACCAGAGCCAUCCUUCAAAGGCCAACUUGGCAAGAAGUCACAGUAAAUGCUUGACAACAAUUACCUCUAGACUCGUGAGAUUCAAAUUAGCAAUUCUGUAUCUGAGUAUGGUGUGAUUAAACUCUAGAAUUUAGUUCAGAAUGUGUCCUAUUUUCAGACAUUGCAUUUUUUAACCACUCUCUUUGGAACGUCAGAUGGACAUGGACUCAGACACCUCGUGCCUUUUGAAAACGAGCGCAGUGGAGUCCUUCUUUUGUUAGCCAGCACCAGGCACAGAGUCUGUUCUCGGGAAGAAUAGAAGCCAGAGAAAUGAGAACAUUUCAGGACACUGGUAAGGGACCUGUGCCAUUCUGGAAGGUAAGGAGAAGCCACACAGCCCCACUGUGCAAAAGCAGUCCACUCUUCAGCGUGGAGCUUCUUUCUCUGGGAACCAAGUUGUAGCAUAUUGUUUUGGCUUUGAAUGUUGAAUUUCAGGCAUACUCCACAGUUUGGAGUCCAAGUCAGCAUUAACAUUAGACACAAGCCACAGAGAAACUUCCUGUCAUUCAAGAGCCAUUGUCCUGCUUUCUCACAGAUACUGAGCUCCAAAAGAUGCCCUCUGAUAACUGCAAAUAUGAACUUUUCCCAGUUCUAGGGUGUUUAACUCUUAGAUUUUCAGUUAUUGCUUAUAAAUGCUGCUUCUUCUGAGAAUGGACAAACAUUUAUGGCUUCACUGCAUAAGCCCUCCAAAAAUAACUUGAAAGUCAGUAGUUAAAACCCAUCAGUGUAUCAUGUUUAUUUUGCAGAUCUGUUACCAACUCCUAGUAUAGAAACUUUGCCAAAAAUGAAACUUCUAAGAAUUUUUUCACUAUUGACUCCUGCUCUUAAAGGCUCUCCAAAUUCCUCUUACAGCUCCACUGCUGGGAAAAGGAGGGAAAAAAAAAACAACUGCUGCUUUUUUUUUUAAUU